UAUUGUUCUAUUUUCUUUCUCUGCAUUGUUGGGAAGGGCCAGGAAUAAAGCAUUUCACUGUUACUCUACACCUGUUUACAAAGCAUGUGAUACUUUUAUGUUUGAUUCCCUCAGUCAUCACCUCUAAUUGUUUAUUUGUUGAAUUUAUAGAAUCGAAACUGACGAGCACUGGCCUGAGGAAACCUCAAUCCUAUGGCACUCAGAGAUCCAUAGCUAGCCUCAGGCAUCCUGCAGUAAGAGCUAUGGCAACCCGCUCCACUGAAAACCCCAGCCUCGCUUCAGGUUUAAAUGGAAGGAAUCUACAAGCACCCAACCAAGGCCAGAAGCACUUGCCAACCAGCAGUGAUGCUUUUCCUGUAGCAAAGAGGAAAAAAAUGGGGUGUCCAAAGUGUGUGCUACUUCAGCAAGAACUGGAGAUGUGUCGUCAAGAAAAUGAGAGGCUGCAAGCAGGGUGUCCAAACUCUGCUACUUCAGCAAAAACUGGAGAUGUGUCGUCAAGAAAAUGAGACUGCGAGCAGAUAUUAUUCAAAUAGAACAUUUCUAUCAUGUUUAUUUUUUUGGGGGGGUUAUAGCCUACAGUUGAACGGCGGGAACCCUGAUUACUGAGUUCAUCGUAAAGUUGUGUUCAAUUAUUUUUUGGGGCAGACAAUCAUCUCUGUUGUUAUUCAUUUGGGAACAGAUGACUCCCAUUGAGAAAGCAUUGGCUGCAUCCAAAAUACUCGGACACAAAAUCCCAAUACAUUUAUGACGAACAAUGAUGUACUACAUCAUAUUAAUAUGUGUUCAUGUGUCUGUGUGGCCAUACUCUUUAGAGGUAAACAUAUAAAAAUCUGGAUUCUCAGAUCAUUUGGAAUAAUAAUUGCUAACUGGUAUGUCCUCCUGCAGGACUACAAUUCCAUUUAGUCUGGAAGUCAGGAUGUGGAGCAAGUGUUUUGAUGUCACAUUGCUAAUGGCUGUAAAUUGUAUUGAAGUCUCAUUUCAGGUUUAGAAGAGGACAUACACUGAGUAUACCAAACAUUAGGACCACUGUCCUAAUAUUGAGUCGGCCUCCACCGUCAAUUUGUCGGUGAAUGGACUCCACAAGGUGUCAAGUGUUUCACAGGGAUGCUGGCCCAUGUUAACUCCAAUGCUUCCCACAGUUGUCAGGUUGGCUGAAUGUCCUUUGGCUGGUGUACUGUUGUUGAUACGCAUGGUUGCGCGUGAAAAACCCAGCAGCGUUUUGACACAAAACGGUGCACCUGGCACCUACUCACAUACCCUGUUAAAAAGCACUUGAAUCUUUUUUUCUUGCCUAUUCACCCUCACACACAAUCCAUGUCUCAAUACUUAAACAUCCUUCUUUAACUGGUCUUCUCCCCUUCAUCUACACUGAUUUUAAAGUGGAUGAAACAAGUGACAUCAAUAAGGGAUCAUAGCUUUCACCUGGUCACUCUGUCAUGGAAAGAGCAGGUGCCUUUAAUGUUUCGUACACUCAGUGUAUAUUGCCGGUUUUCCAGACCCAGAUAAAGCUUAGUCCUGGAAUAAGUGAUUUCAGUGGAGAAUUUCCAUUGCGAGUGCUUGUUAGUCCAGGACUAGGCUUAAUGAGGGGGUGGCAGGUAGCCUAGUGGUUAGAGCAUUGGGCCAGUAACCAGAAGGUUGCUAGAUCGAAUUCCCGAGGUGACAAGGUAAAAAUCUGUCAUUCUGCUCCUGAACAAGGCAUUUAACCCACUGUUCCUAGGCGUUCAUUGUAAAUCAGAAUUUGUUCUUAACUGACUUGCCUAGUUAAAUCAAGGUAAAAAAAAAAUAUUAAACAAAUAAAUGAGUCUCCGAAACCGUCCCAUAAGUGUUUUCUAGUAGUUAAAUGGAGGUUCAGCUCCAUGGACAUCUAACCAGUUUGGACUACUGAU